rnacentral:tRNA from 1 species
GGGCGGUUAGCUCAGCUGGUCCAGAGCGCCUCCCUUACAAGGAGGAGGUCGCAGGUUCGAACCCCGCACCGCCCA